AAAUUGAAGAGUUUGAUCAUGGCUCAGAUUGAACGCUGGCGGCAGGCCUAACACAUGCAAGUCGAGCGGUAGCACAGAGAGCUUGCUCUCGGGUGACGAGCGGCGGACGGGUGAGUAAUGUCUGGGAAACUGCCUGAUGGAGGGGGAUAACUACUGGAAACGGUAGCUAAUACCGCAUAACGUCGCAAGACCAAAGUGGGGGACCUUCGGGCCUCAUGCCAUCAGAUGUGCCCAGAUGGGAUUAGCUAGUAGGAGGGGUAACGGCUCACCUAGGCGACGAUCCCUAGCUGGUCUGAGAGGAUGACCAGCCACACUGGAACUGAGACACGGUCCAGACUCCUACGGGAGGCAGCAGUGGGGAAUAUUGCACAAUGGGCGCAAGCCUGAUGCAGCCAUGCCGCGUGUGUGAAGAAGGCCUUCGGGUUGUAAAGCACUUUCAGCGGGGAGGAAGGCGAUAAGGUUAAUAACCUUGUCGAUUGACGUUACCCGCAGAAGAAGCACCGGCUAACUCCGUGCCAGCAGCCGCGGUAAUACGGAGGGUGCAAGCGUUAAUCGGAAUUACUGGGCGUAAAGCGCACGCAGGCGGUCUGUCAAGUCGGAUGUGAAAUCCCCGGGCUCAACCUGGGAACUGCAUUCGAAACUGGCAGGCUAGAGUCUUGUAGAGGGGGGUAGAAUUCCAGGUGUAGCGGUGAAAUGCGUAGAGAUCUGGAGGAAUACCGGUGGCGAAGGCGGCCCCCUGGACAAAGACUGACGCUCAGGUGCGAAAGCGUGGGGAGCAAACAGGAUUAGAUACCCUGGUAGUCCACGCCGUAAACGAUGUCGAUUUGGAGGUUGUGCCCUUGAGGCGUGGCUUCCGGAGCUAACGCGUUAAAUCGACCGCCUGGGGAGUACGGCCGCAAGGUUAAAACUCAAAUGAAUUGACGGGGGCCCGCACAAGCGGUGGAGCAUGUGGUUUAAUUCGAUGCAACGCGAAGAACCUUACCUGGUCUUGACAUCCACAGAACUUUCCAGAGAUGGAUUGGUGCCUUCGGGAACUGUGAGACAGGUGCUGCAUGGCUGUCGUCAGCUCGUGUUGUGAAAUGUUGGGUUAAGUCCCGCAACGAGCGCAACCCUUAUCCUUUGUUGCCAGCGGUUAGGCCGGGAACUCAAAGGAGACUGCCAGUGAUAAACUGGAGGAAGGUGGGGAUGACGUCAAGUCAUCAUGGCCCUUACGACCAGGGCUACACACGUGCUACAAUGGCAUAUACAAAGAGAAGCGACCUCGCGAGAGCAAGCGGACCUCAUAAAGUAUGUCGUAGUCCGGAUUGGAGUCUGCAACUCGACUCCAUGAAGUCGGAAUCGCUAGUAAUCGUAGAUCAGAAUGCUACGGUGAAUACGUUCCCGGGCCUUGUACACACCGCCCGUCACACCAUGGGAGUGGGUUGCAAAAGAAGUAGGUAGCUUAACCUUCGGGAGGGCGCUUACCACUUUGUGAUUCAUGACUGGGGUGAAGUCGUAACAAGGUAACCGUAGGGGAACCUGCGGUUGGAUCACCUCCUUA
rnacentral:rRNA from 1 species